rnacentral:lncRNA from 1 species
UGGCCUCAAGUGAUCCGCCCACCUCGGCCUCCCAAAGUGCUGGGAUUACAGGUGUGAGCCACUGCACCUGGCCAAAUAAUGCUUUCUGAGUAACACGCUUGCAUGAAGGAGCAGUCAGGCAAGAUCCCACCCCAGUGCCCACCACAUUUGUAAAACAAGAAAAUCGAACUAGCUGGGUACUUUGCCCUAUGUUUUUCAUCAUAUGUUACAUUUUGAAUCUUUUUCAUGUUUGAAAAAUGAUCUACGAUGUGCCCUUUCUGUUAUAUCUU